rnacentral:lncRNA from 10 species
CCGGGGACCGGCCUCCGCCGCGGGCUCUGCCCGCUCGCCUGCUCGCCUGGUGGGGGAGAGGGGAGCGGGGCCGACACAGGGUUCCUGACCAAGCUGGUGCUUCUGCGUGUGUUCCUGCAUGACUUGGUGUGUCCCCUUCUCUUGGAUCUACUGCAGUUGACAGCAGAUAACUGAAAGCUCGGAAAGCGAAACCGUGGAUAAGCAGGGGAACUGUGGCAUCCCAUUUAAAAUUGCUUCUGAAGAGAAGCAUGAGGUUACAUCUGUAAUCUCCCUGCAGCAGAGUCAACUGCAUAAGAAACCAAAAGACACACCUGCUCCAUGCCAGCCUAAGCCACCACAUAAAAAGUCAGACCAUCUGCUGGAAGAACCACAUGGAGAGGCCCUGAGUCAACAUGGAGAGGAAGAAGGACUUGACUGAAUCCAGCCUUCCAGCUGUCCCUACCAAGGUGCCAGGCAUGAGAAUGAAGCUGUCUUGAACUCUGAAGACCAGCUUAGCCACCAGGUAAAUGCCACUAAGUGACCUCACUCAAUGUCAUGUGGGACGGAAGAAUCACCCCGCCAAACCCUUCCUGGAUCCCUGACCCAGAAAUUUGUCAGAUGUAAUGGUUGUGAAAAGCCAUUCAAUUUGGGGGCAGUUUGUAUGCAGCAUAGCUAGCUGGUAUGAUACAACAGCCUGCAAUUCAGGCAGCAGCAGCACUAACAACGAUGAAAUCCUGCAGGAGCGAACUCCUUUGGGGU